GCCUCUGUGGCGGAAUUGGUAGACGCGACAGACUCAAAAUUUGUUGUCCGCAAGGACGUGCUGGUUCGACUCCGGCCAGGGGCACCA
rnacentral:tRNA from 1 species